AUUGAACGCUGGCGGCAGGCCUAACACAUGCAAGUCGAACGAGUGGCGGACGGGUGAGUAAUGUCUGGGAAACUGCCUGAUGGAGGGGGAUAACUACUGGAAACGGUAGCUAAUACCGCAUACCAUCAGAUGUGCCCAGAUGGGAUUAGCUAGUUGGUGGGGUAAAGGCUCACCAAGGCGACGAUCCCUAGCUGGUCUGAGAGGAUGACCAGCCAAAACGGAACGUGGAUACGGUCCAGACUCCUACGGGAGGCAGCAGUGGGGAAUGUUGCAAAAUGGGAGCAAGCCUGAAGCAGCCAUGCCGCGUGUAUGAAGAAGGCCCUCGGGUUGUAAAGGACUUUCAGCCGGGAGGCGUUACCCGCAGAAGAAGCACCGGCUAACUCCGUGCCAGCAGCCGCGGUAAUAC
rnacentral:rRNA from 1 species